UAUAUUUUCACACUUUUCUUCCUUUUCUACCCUUUUAGAAAACAAAAAUUAAUGUGAAUGUGAAUCUAUAUACUAUAGAAACUGAGAAUUAAAUCAGCCCCUUCCUUUCCGGUCCCCCAUCCCUGAAUUGAAAUUAGGAUAUUCACUUUGCAUUCUCAAAACCGUCCACUCUCAAUUGAUCAAUCAAAAUUUAAGAAGAGUCCAUUCAUAUCCCCUCACCGCCCUCAUCAAUUGGCUUGCGUAUUUAUGCAGAGGAAACCUUGAUUAUUCUUCAAUUGUUUUCUUCGAGGUUGAAAUAUAACCGGAGUUGAGAACAAACAAACUGAUACGCCAUGACCAAAUAUCCACAUUCGCACAGUUUUUACGGUUUUUCAACAGAAUCUCUGAGGUUCUAGAGAAGGCGAAGACGUAGAUUGAUGUACUGAAGGAGCUUUUUCAAUUAACUCGGAGAAUAUUACAGCCUACAGGAGGUAUCAUGGUGACAGGAAGACUGAGGCACAACCAGUGGUCUCUCUGUUUGCUUUUAUGCUUUGGCUAGAAACAAGAGAUCUUCUAAUACAUACUGAAGUAGAGGAGAAGUUAGGAUGUGAGAGAUGGGGAUUACAACGUCAAUGAAACGGUCAAUGUUGUUACCGCAAAAACCACUGAAAUCGGACACAGGACAUGGGGAAUGGCGAGAGGCGUAAUGGCGUUAGCUACACAAAAGGUAGAAAAAUAUCUCUCUCUUUCAUUUACAUUUCACCAUGGCCACUGCUUUGCAUAACUGUUUAAAAUAAAUACACUGUAACUAUAUUAGUUGAACAAGGAUGUAGACUAAAUGACAUGUAUUUUGUGCCAUAGAAGUUGUACAUAUUGUUACAAAGACCGUACUAAAAGCGAAAUUUGAUUGUAACAAAGUCGUUUUCACGGUAAUAUUUGUUAAUCUCACUUGCAAAACUGUCAAGUAUUUGACAAGAUGAAUAAGAUAAAGCACAAGAAGCCUGUGUUUAUAUCCCGUGUCCGAAGAAUGAGAAACUUUUGCCUUUGUUAUAAGCAGCAAGUAGUGUUUGACAAUCGCCGGGCUUGGUAACAUGAGCCUGUGACUCGAGUGAGGGCUUUAAAGUGGGCUGGACUAUGGUUUCCUGCUAAUGAACUCCCUCUUUUUUAUUUUCUAUCUUUUUUUAUACAAAUAUUCAUUCUGUCAUGUUGAUUUCUUGAAACUAAAUUUUAAGUUUUUCCAUACCAACAUUAAUAAAUUUUGUGAUAUAAUACAACCAAACAUGUUGGAGUGAUUUUGUCCAAAACCGAAUACAAUCUGAGCCAACUGAUAGUUUUAUUAAACAUCUAAUAAUAUGCAUACGAUGCGUGUUCCCAACCCGAUCCAAAUCAGUUUUUACAGAAAACAUUAUGUCAACCUUGUGACAAAUUCAUAUCAAGUGUAGAUCA